rnacentral:rRNA from 1 species
CAAUAGCGUAUAUUAAAGCUGUUGCGGUUAAAAAGCUCGUAGUUGGAUUUCUGUCAAGGACAACUGGUCCGCCCCUCGGGUGAGCACAUAGUUUGGUCUUGGCAUCUUGUUGGAAACUGUUGCUGCACUUGGUUGUGUGGCGCAGUGUCCAGCACUUUCACUUUGAGGAAAUUGGAGUGUUUCAAGCAGGCACAUGCCUUUGGACACAGUAGCAUGGAAUAAUUAGAUUGGGCUUUUGCUCCAACUUGUCGGUUUCUGGAGCUGAGGUGAGAAUUAAUGGGGAUUGUUGGGGGCAUCCGAAUUUAGCCGUCAGAGGUGAAAUUCUUGGAUCUGCUGAAGACGGACAACUGCGAAAGCGUCUGCCCAGGAUGUUUUCAUUGA